rnacentral:rRNA from 1 species
GUUUAGUUGCUGGGUGUAGACCCGAAACCAAGUGAUCUAUCCAUGGCCAGGUUGAAGGUGCCGUAACAGGUACUGGAGGACCGAACCCACUAAUGUUGAAAAAUUAGGGGAUGAGCUGUGGAUAGGGGUGAAAGGCUAAUCAAACUUGGAGAUAGCUGGUUCUCUCCGAAAACUAUUUAGGUAGUGCCUCGUAUAUCAUUCUCGGGGGUAGAGCACUGUUAUGGCUAGGGGGUACAUACGUACUUACCAAACCAUUGCAAACUCCGAAUACCGAGAAAUGCAAUUACGGGAGACAGACUGCGGGUGCUAACGUCCGUAGUCAAGAGGGAAACAACCCAGACCGACAGCUAAGGUCCCAAAUGACGUGCUAAGUGGAAAACGAAGUGGGAAGGCACACCACAGCCAGGAGGUUGGCUUAGAAGCAGCCAUCCUUUAAAGAAAGCGUAAUAGCUCACUGGUCGAGUCGUCCUGCGCGGAAGAUGUAACGGGGCUAAGCACGUAACCGAAGCUUCGGAUGCAUAAUUUAUUAUGCAUGGUAGGAGAGCGUUCUGUAGGCCUGCGAAGGUGUUCUGUGAGGGAUGCUGGAGGUAUCAGAAGUGCGAAUGCUGACAUGAGUAGCGAUAAAGGGGGUGAAAAGCCCCCUCGCCGAAAAUCCAAGGGUUCCUGCUUAAAGCUAAUCUGCGCAGGGUGAGCCGACCCCUAAGGCGAGGCCGAAAGGCGUAGUCGAUGGGAACCAGGUUAAUAUUCCUGGGCCAUGGAGUGGUGACGGAUCCCGGAAGUAGUUCAUCCUUAUCGGAUUGAAUGGGCUGCCAAGGGGUUCCUGGAAAUAGCCCUCCUAUAAGAUCGUACCCUAAACCGACACAGGUGGAUAGGUAGAGAAUACCAAGGCGCUUGAGAGAACCACAUUUAAGGAACUCGGCAAAAUACCUCCGUAAGUUCGCGAGAAGGAGGCCCGUUCAGAACGCAAGUUUUGGGCGGGGGCACAAACCAGGGGGUGGCGACUGUUUACUAAAAACACAGGGCUCUGCGAAGUCGUAAGACGACGUAUAGGGUCUGACGCCUGCCCGGUGCCUGAAGGUUAAAAGGAGGAGUGCAAGCUCCGAAUUGAAGCCCAGGUAAACGGCGGCCGUAACUAUAACGGUCCUAAGGUAGCGAAAUUCCUUGUCGGGUAAGUUCCGACCUGCACGAAUGGCGUAACGACUUCCCCGCUGUCUCAAAUGUGGACUCAGCGAAAUUGAAUUGCCGGUCAAGAUGCCGGCUCCCCGCGGUUAGACGGAAAGACCCCAUGCACCUUUACUAUAGCUUCGCAUUGGCAUCAGACACAGUAUGUGCAGGAUAGGUGGUAGGCUUUGAAGCAGUGACGCUAGUCAUUGUGGAGCCACCCUUGAGAUACCACCCUUAUUCUGUUUGAUGUCUAACCGCGGUCCGUUAUCCGGAUCCGGGACCCUGCGUGGUGGGUAGUUUGACUGGGGCGGUCGCCUCCUAAAUUGUAACGGAGGCGCGCGAAGGUUGGCUCAGAGCGGUCGGAAAUCGCUCGUUGAGUGCAAUGGCAGAAGCCAGCCUGACUGCGAGACUGACAAGUCGAGCAGAGUCGAAAGACGGCCAUAGUGAUCCGGUGGUCCCGAGUGGAAGGGCCAUCGCUCAACGGAUAAAAGGUACGCUGGGGAUAACAGGCUGAUGGUGCCCAAGAGUCCAUAU